CGCGCUUAUCUCAUCCCCGCGCCCCCUUCCUCCCGCAGGCAGCGCUCGGCGGAGCGACGCCGGGCCGCCCCCUCCACCUCCUCCUCCUCCUCCUCCUCCUCCUCCCCCCGUUCCCGGGUCGCGGGCGAGGAGGGAAGCGCGGCGCGAGGGGAGGAAGGGAGGGGAAAGGGGCCGAUCCGCUCCCCGCGCUGCGCCACAACCCGCCCGCCGCCGCCGCUGCUGCCGCCGCCGCCGUGCCCCGAGCCCGUGAGCGCGCCCGGCCCGCCCCGCGCCGGGUCCGGAGCGAGGGGCGGGAGCGGGAGCGGCAGCGCCCGGCCGUGCGCGGGAAGAGGAGACAGAAACAUCUUGUCUGAUGAAAAGCACGUUUUGCAAGGUUUGACAAAUACACUGUUCACCUCAAGCCAAUGUGGUCUGCGUGAUUUUAAUGCUGGGCAGCGAGAAGCAGAAUGGAAGCUGAGGAAACGCAGCUGUUCUUGCCCCGGCUGUAACCUCGGAAACAGGUCCCUUCCCCUGGCAGUGGGAGCAGCCUCUCCCACCCCCAGCACUCCCAUUCCUGUGCCACUUAUGAGAUAGAUGUUACAGAAUCAAGAGCAAUCCACGUUCUCAGCCAUUGUUUCCUAAACAGUGCCAUUAGAAUGGUAAAUUGCAACAGUAAAACAGUGUCAAUAGGAAGUUAUGAAGUUCCCAUUUUAUGAUGCAUUCAUAAAGUUAACUCAAUCUACUCAAAAUGUGGCUGUGAUUUCCACACAGUGACCUAUUUGCUAUGACAGAAGAGAUUCUGAUGAGAAAACAGUUGAGUUUUAAGUGUGCUGGGACUCUGCUUUUACCCAAGUAAAACAUAGCAUAUUCCCUGUUGGAAUAUAUGUGCAUAUCAGAAUUUAUUAAACUAGUGCUUGUUUGAUCACUUUUGGUUUCACUGAGUGCUAUGAAUUCUGAGGAUUUUGUGCCUUUGAAUACAAUGCAUUUAUUCCUGUGGAAAAAAAUGAGAAAACUCCAAGCAGCGCUGUCAUUUAGAUGUUACUAUUGUCAUUCCACAGAAGGAUAAGAGAGAACCAAAUCAAUCAGAAGAAAUGGCUGCUUUUAGUUUUAUCUCCAGAUCUGGCAGCAAGUCAUAACGUAGCAGUUGUACAACAAUUUCCAUUCUGAGUCCCUUUUGCAGUCAACUGUAACUGUCCUGAACUUUAACAUUAUGAGUUGUCUGUUUCAGGCUGAGUUGUUUGGGUGGAAUCAGUAUUACUGUCAAUCUGAGAAAGAGUCAGGAAACUGGCUUUCAAACACUGUAACAGAAAUUCUCUCUCUUCUUUCUCCCUAAUAAAGGUUUUUAAGGAAAAAAAUAACAUUGGAAA